UAGAGUUUGAUCCUGGCUCAGAACGAACGCUGGCGGCAGGCUUAACACAUGCAAGUCGAGCGCCCCGCAAGGGGAGCGGCAGACGGGUGAGUAACGCGUGGGAACGUACCUUUUGCUACGGAAUAACUCAGGGAAACUUGUGCUAAUACCGUAUGUGCCAUUUGGUAAAAGAUUAAUCGCCUACAGAAGAGCUCGCGUCCGAUUAGUUAGUUGGUAGGGUAAAAGCCUACCAAGACGGCGAUCGGUAGCCGGUCUGAGAGGACAAUCGGCCACACUGGGACUGAGACACGGCCCAGACUCCUACGGGAGGCAGCAGUGGGGAAUUUUCCGCAAUGGGGGCAACCCUGACGGAGCAAGACCGCGUGGGGGAGGAAGGCCUUAGGGUUGUAAACCUCUUUUAUAUGGGAAGAACAAAAUGACGGUACCAUAUGAAUCAGCCUCGGCUAACUCCGUGCCAACAGCCGCGGUAAUACGGAGGAGGCCAGCGUUAUCCGGAAUUAUUGGGCGUAAAGGG
rnacentral:rRNA from 1 species